rnacentral:rRNA from 1 species
UGUCCCUACGGGACGCAGCAGUGAGGAAUAUUGGUCAAUGGGCGCGAGCCUGAACCAGCCAAGUAGCGUGAAGGAUGACUGCCCUACGGGUUGUAAACUUCUUUUAUAAAGGAAUAAAGUGAGGCACGUGUGCCUUUUUGUAUGUACUUUAUGAAUAAGGAUCGGCUAACUCCGUGCCAGCAGCCGCGGUAAUACGGAGGAUCCGCGCGUUAUCCGGCUUUAUUGGGUUU